UACGUAGGGCGCAAGCGUUGUCCAGAAUUAUUGGGCGUAAAGAGCCCGUAGGCGGUUUGUCACGUCGGAUGUGAAAGCCCGGGGCUUAACCCCGGGUCUGCAUUCGAUACGGGCAGACUAGAGUGUGGUAGGGGAGAUCGGAAUUCCUGGUGUAGCGGUGAAAUGCGCAGAUAUCAGGAGGAACACCGGUGGCGAAGGCGGGUCUCUGGGCCGAUACUGACGCUGAGGAGCGAAAGCGUGGGGAGCGAACAGG
rnacentral:rRNA from 1 species